GGCUGAGAGAUCAGCUGUUCCCUUCGGGGACAGAAUGACAGGUGGUGCAUGGUUGUCGUCAGCUCGUGUCGUGAGAUGUUGGGUUAAGUCCCGCAACGAGCGCAACCCUUAUGAUCAGUUGCCAGCAUUCAGUUGGGCACUCUGGUCAGACUGCCGGUGACAAACCGGAGGAAGGCGGGGAUGACGUCAAAUCAUCAUGCCCCUUAUGACCUGGGCUACACACGUGCUACAAUGGGUGGUACAACGAGCAGCGAGACCGCGAGGUCAAGCGAAUCUCUAAAAACCAUCCUCAGUUCGGAUUGCAGGCUGCAACUCGCCUGCAUGAAGCUGGAAUCGCUAGUAAUCGCGGAUCAGCACGCCGCGGUGAAUACGUUCCCGGGUCUUGUACACCCCGA
rnacentral:rRNA from 1 species